GAUGAAGAACGCAGCGAAACGCGAUAUGUAAUGUGAAUUGCAGAAUUCAGUGAAUCAUCGAAUCUUUGAACGCACAUGGCGCCUUCCAGUAUCCUGGGAGGCAUGCCUGUCCGAGCGUCGUUUCAACCCUCGAGCCCUCGUGGCCCGGCGUUGGGGAUCUGCCACGGCAGGCCCCGAAAUACAGUGGCGGACCCGUUAGGCCCUUCCUUUGCGUAGUAGCAUCAGCCUCGCAUCGGGAGCCGGCGGACUCUCCUGCCUCUAAACCCCCCAACAAGCCCGCUCCGGCGGCACCAAGGUUGACCUCGGAUCAGGUAGGAAUACCCGCUGAACUUAAGCAUAUCAAUAAGCGGAGGA
rnacentral:misc_RNA from 1 species